rnacentral:tRNA from 1 species
GGCCCGUUGGUCAAGCGGUUAAGACACCGCCCUUUCGCGGCGGUAACACGGGUUCGAAUCCCGUACGGGUCA